GGCUCAGGACGAACGCUGGCGGCGUGCCUAACACAUGCAAGUCAAGGGUAGCAAUACACUGGCGCACGGGUGAGUAACGCGUAGGUCAUUUGCCCUUAUCCCGGACAUAACAUCGAGAAAUCGGUGCUAAUAUCCGAUGAGGUGGUAACAUCAAAGGUUUCGGCUGGAUAAGGAUAAGCCUGCGUCUGAUUAGCUUGUUGGUGAGGUAAAAGCUCACCAAGGCGACGAUCAGUAACUGGUCUGAGAGGACGAUCAGUCACACUGGAACUGAGACACGGUCCAGACUCCUACGGGAGGCAGCAGUGAGGAAUAUUGGUCAAUGGGGGAAACCCUGAACCAGCGACGCCGCGUGCGGGAUGAAGGAGCUUUGCUCUGUAAACCGCUGUCGGAGGGGAAGAAAAGCCGGGUCGCCCGGCUGGGACUGUACCCUUAGAGGAAGGUUCGGCUAACUACGUGCCAGCAGCCGCGGUAAUACGUAGGAACCAAGCGUUGUCCGGAAUUACUGGGUGUAAAGGGUGCGCAGGCGGACUUGUGCGUCAGAGGUUAAAUACCACCGCUCAACGGUGGAAAUGCCUUUGAUACGGCAAGUCUUGAGUGUGAGAGAGGAUGGUAGAAUUCCUGGUGUAGCGGUGAAAUGCGUAGAUAUCAGGAGGAAUACCAGUGGCGAAGGCGGCCAUCUGGCUCAUUACUGACGCUCAGGCACGAAAGCGUGGGGAGCAAACAGGAUUAGAUACCCUGGUAGUCCACGCCCUAAACGAUGUAUGCUUGAUGUUGGGGGACUUGUUCCCUCAGUGUCGGAGGAAACCCGUUAAGCAUACCACCUGGGGAGUACGAUCGCAAGGUUGAAACUCAAAU
rnacentral:rRNA from 1 species